UACGUAGGGUGCGAGCGUUGUCCGGAAUUACUGGGCGUAAAGAGCUCGUAGGUGGUUUGUCGCGUUGUUCGUGAAAACCUGAGGCUUAACCUUGGGCGUGCGGGCGAUACGGGCAGACUGGAGUACUGCAGGGGAGACUGGAAUUCCUGGUGUAGCGGUGGAAUGCGCAGAUAUCAGGAGGAACACCGGUGGCGAAGGCGGGUCUCUGGGCAGUAACUGACGCUGAGGAGCGAAAGCGUGGGGAGCGAACCGG
rnacentral:rRNA from 1 species